UGGGGAAUAUUGCACAAUGGGCGAAAGCCUGAUGCAGCAACGCCGCGUGAGUGAUGAAGGCCUUCGGAUUGUAAAGCUCUGUCUUUUGGGACGAUAAUGACGGUACCAAAGGAGGAAGCCACGGCUAACUACGUGCCAGCAGCCGCGGUAAUACGUAGGUGGCGAGCGUUGUCCGGAUUUACUGGGCGUAAAGGGUGCGUAGGCGGAUGUUUAAGUGAGAUGUGAAAUACCCGGGCUUAACUUGGGUGCUGCAUUUCAAACUGGAUAUCUAGAGUGCAGGAGAGGAGAAUGGAAUUCCUAGUGUAGCGGUGAAAUGCGUAGAGAUUAGGAAGAACACCAGUGGCGAAGGCGAUUCUCUGGACUGUAACUGACGCUGAGGCACGAAAGCGUGGGUAGCAAACAGGAUUAGAUACCCUGGUAGUCCACGCCGUAAACGAUGAGUACUAGGUGUAGGAGGUAUCGACCCCUUCUGUGCCGCAGUAAACACAUUAAGUACUCCGCCUGGGAAGUA
rnacentral:rRNA from 1 species